AGAAAAUCCAACUUAGCAUGUUAUAAGUUAUUGCUUGAACAAGAAUUUUGAGAUAUGCAGGAUAAACAGGAAGGAUCCACAUGAAAUUUAUGAAAUCUCAUAAUCAUACCUAAAUCUGCCAUUGAACGACAGCAUUUUCCAAAGAAACCAAGAAACCUCUUUCCAAGCAUUUUAGAAGCAAUAUUGAGGGCUGUAAACAAGCUGAGGUUUGACAAGUUUAGCCUUAAUCAUUUUUUU
rnacentral:misc_RNA from 1 species